AUGGUGAAACUAAUGACAGGGCUCAUCAAUACUAUGACUAGUGAGAACACUUCUAACAUGAUCACUGAAUAUGCAAACAAAAGGCAGGAAGCAAAGGACAAGGCAAAAGAGAAGAAAGCAAACAACACUAAGGAAUCCAUUACUCAUUAUCAACUGUUGGCAGUUCAAUGUGGUGCAGAAGAAACAAGUGUUGAGUACUUCAUGGCAACUCAACUGUUUGCAGAUGAGGCAAACAGAGUCAUAUUUCAGAACAUUUCAAGUGAUGAGGCUAGAUUGACUUGGUUGAAGAGGUGGUGCAUGAUGAAGAAGUUGUACUAG
rnacentral:rRNA from 1 species